GAGGAUAUAGCUCAAUGGUAGAGCGUGUGCUUAGCAUGCACAAGGUCCUGGGUUCAAUCCCCAGUACCUCCA
rnacentral:tRNA from 1 species